rnacentral:tRNA from 1 species
GGCCUGGUAGCUCAGUUGGUAGAGCAGAGGACUGAAAAUCCUUGUGUCGGUGGUUCGAUUCCGCCCCAGGCCACCA